ensembl:lncRNA
AUGUUUUGCCUUUUCUUUUGCUCAUUGUUCCCUAAAGCCACAUAUUUGUUUUAUGAUUUUCCACCUUCACAUGCCAUUUCUUCUUAUUCUCCCCAGAUGCCUCAUUGCUAUGUCUCUCCCUUUUUUCUCCAGCAUCUUACUUGCUGUUGGAAGUCUGGCUUGACCCAAUGUGAGGCCCUCUUCUCCAUUCCAGAUCCAGGACACCAUUCCCUGAAGGAGCCAUCAGGGGCCUGUGGGAUAGAGGCCAUUGCUGGGGAUGCCCUGAUAGAGGUCCUUCAACAAAUAACAAGUAAGAGGCUGCAGUUUCUGCAACGAGAGAUGAUGGGGCUGAAAUGUCAGCAGGACAGACCAGGAUGGAAGAUCAAUCACGGAGCGGAGAGAAGGUGUGGUCACUGGAUUGGGGGCACCUCCUACCCGCCAUGCUUGAGCAUCCUCUUCGUGGAAAGAUCUCUAUCUCUCUGGGUAAAUGUUGAGUCAGUGUUGUCCCAGCCUUGGUGA